CUGGUUGAAAGAAUGAUAAAAUCACUGUUUAAUCCUCUGUAAAGUUUUGAUUAAUGGAUAAAGGAUUUAUGAGGCUAGUUGUAAGCUGCAGCCAAUCUGGUGUGCUUUGUUUGUCUUUCUGUUUGGUUCUGUUAUGAAGAGGAGUACCUUAGGAUGGACUGUGGGCCUAGUACUCUAUAAACCCACUGUUCAAGCCAGCCCAGCAAACUGGACACAAUUUGAGAAACUGGUUGUUUUGCCAAGGCUUUGACUGGAAGGACGUGCUUCUCUUUAAGGAAUCAAGCUUGACUUGCAGAGCCAAUAAAAGCCCCUUGGGAAAACUGGCCUCAUACCUUGUCUACACAGUUCGUGUACAGGGUUCUUAACCUGUGACUAACCCUGCUUGUACCUGUGAACCAACCAGCGAUCUCUGGCUGAAGCUCAGAAGAAACAAAUGGUAUGGGUAAUGUAAAAAUCUAGAUCAAUAUUUUAAUUCUGAGUGAUUAUCCUGCAAAUCCUGCCAGGUGAUGGGAGUGAAUGAGGAGCCUAUAACCUGGAGGUUUCUUUGUUUGGGAAAAUAAGACCAAGGGAGCUAACCAAAGCCAAGCCCCAUGCACCCAAAUCUUAGCAGGCAUAACUAUAGCCACCAGCUAUCUGGGUAUGCUGGCAGCCUUGGGAUUUUUGAGCUGUCCUUACCGCCUUCAGUUUGAUAUAUAUUUUCUAAUAACUCAAAUUGUUUAUUCUUGCUUAGAGUACUAAACUUCAAAUGGUGAGGCAAAUGGAACUGUGCAUGGAUGUGCCAUUCUUCCAGGUACUCUUUUUUUUUUUGAGACGGAGUCUCGCUCUGUUGCCCAGGCUGGAGGGCAGUGGCGUGAUCUCGGCUCACUGCAAGCUCCGCCUCCCAGGUUCACGCCAUUCUCCUGCCUCAGCCUCCCGAGUAGCUGGACUACAGGCGCCCGCCACCACGCCCGGCUAAUUUUUUGUAUUUUUAGUAGAGACGAGGUUUCACCGUGUUGGCUAGGAUGGUCUCGAUCUCCUCACCUCGUGAUCCGCCUGCCUCGGCCUCCCAAAGUGCUGGGAUUACAGGCGUGAGCCACCGUGCCCGGCCUCUUCCAGGUACUCUUAAAGCAACCUCAGGAGGAGCUCUAAUGGCUUUCUCCAAACAGCGCCCCCUGUCAGCAGGACACAGUUAAGAGUGGACAUCGUUCACUUUCCCCAACAGCAGUUGGGGUCUUCACUCCUGAAUGGGGGAAGGAAAGGAGUUAGCCAGCUUCCUUUAGACAGAAAGUAAGAGAAGGGUCCUCAAGGAACCUCCGACCUGCCCCACAAGUGUUUACACCAGAUGUUUUGUGCAGAUAAGGGAACUUGCACAGGGGGCUUGUUUAAACAUGCCCUCAGUGGAAAAUUCUGUUCCUUAACACAUACAUACACAGUUAGAGAAAUAAAUCAAUAUGGAGUGGCUCAGUCUAAGGGCUCACAUGUGCACUGGAAGGAUGGGGUGGAGCUGCCAGGAAUUCACUCACACCUUAAGCCCUAGCCCUGGUAUUCAACUGUGAAGGGGACAACUGGAAACCUGCUUUCAGGACCUCUCCCUUUGCUGAGAGCUUUCCUUUCGCUUAAUAAAUUCUACUCCAUUCACUCUUUGGUGUCCAUGUGCCUAAUUCUUCCCGGUCUUGAGGCAAUAACCUGGACCUAGCUGAGAUAAGGAGCAAAAAUCCUGCAACACUAUGACAUACAGAGGUAUCAAACUUGCACCUGUACCCUCUGAAUCUUAAAUAAAAGUUUAAAAAAUUUAAAAAUAAUAAAUUAAGUAAUUAAAUAUGCA
rnacentral:lncRNA from 1 species